UGGGACACGUGACCCGGGCAGUGUUUUGACAGGGCAAACAGCAGAGAAAGAACUGGGCGAGCGAGGGGGCCAGGGAGCUGGGGCGCCAGAGCUAGAGACAGCGGGCGGGCGAGGAGCUGGCAGAGGCGCGGGGCGAACGGGCUGGCCAGGUCGCCAGGCGGCCAAAGCCCGAGGGCCGCGGGGCUCGGGUGCGAGUCGGGCAGGACGAAGGGCUGAGCGUCGGGAGCGGAGCGAGGCGGCGGCCAAGGCGGGGGUGGAUGGCCACAGGGGCGCCGGGGAGCCGCGUCGGGCUUGUUGUCUCGGGCCCCCAUGGUCCCCUAGCGCAGCCUCGGGGGCCGCUGCGCGCCACGCUCCGCUUUUGCCGGCCCUGCGCCUCUCGGAGCCUCACGUCUGAGGUGGGAGUGUGAUGUGAGCCGCUGGGCGAACGGCGGAGUCAAGUGCCUGGAGGAGGAGGUAUUGGGACGGGAGGCGAGAGAGUUAGUCAGCAGAGGUCGGCCGAGGGAGCCAUGAAAACAACUCUCCGGCUGGGAGAGGGGCCGGCGCGGCGCUCCGGACGGCGGGACUGAAGGAAAUCCGGGGCCGCGGCGGGACGGAAGGGGCCCUCACCGGCAGGCUGCACCGAGGAGGGGCGAUCGCCCGGCUGUAAACACCUUCCCGGGACGACCCUCAGGCCCGGCCUCUCAGGGCCAGGGGUGUUGCAGGGGCGACCCGGGGCAGCACAGUACAGUUCUUUUGGGACUGGGGGCUGGGCGCGAGGAGAUGUCUCGGGUUUCUUUUUGACCCUCUUAUUGUGUAAACUUGGCCGCGGUUGAGGCAGGAAGACUAGCCAGAGGGUAAUUACACAGGUGAGGCCUUGCGGGGCGGGCAGAGCGUCGGCGAGGCGUUUGGGGUCUUGAAGAGUCUCCUUCGCUCAAGUCAUCAGGUCCAAGCAUUUCUAUACGAGUCACUGCGGAGGUGCCACUGUUCCCAGAGGCGUUUUUUACAAAGGGGUUAGUUAGCUUGAGUUGCUUGAUCCCCCCCGCCCCCUCGCCUGUACAUUCAAGUUAUAAAUAGAUCUUCUUUUUGGUUUGGAGACGCUGUGUCAAAGAAGGACACUUUGGCCUGGAGAGCACAGGGGCGGGGAAGAAGGGUGCUUGGUCCGGAGUCGAUUGGGGGGGCGGGGAGGCGGCGGUGUAGAGUUUUGCUUUUUUCAGACCUGCGGAUGGUGCUGUCACCGCUCUUACUGCCAGGAAGAGGCCUGUUAGCAGUAGUUUUCUUGCAAGAUCGAGUGUUAGGGCAGGACCAGAUUAAUUUUAUUUUGACCUCUUUUAGCGUUUUGAAAACGAAGCAGUAGCUGCAAAAUCAGCGGCGAGCCUGUUGAAGAGAACCCACACGUGUAUUUCACAGCACCUUGGGUGGAUAUCGACGUGAAAAUGAAGCCAGACCGAGAUACUCUGGAUGAAUAUUUUGAGUAUGAUGCAGAGGAAUUCUUGGUCUCUCUGGCCUUGUUAAUAACAGAAGGACGAACACCUGAAUGUUCUGUUAAAGGUCGGACAGAAAGUUUCCAUUGUCCUCCAGCACAGUCCUGUUACCCAAUAACUACAAAACAUGAAUGUAGUGACAAGCUGGCCCAGUGUCGCCAAGCCAGACGAACUAGGUCUGAGGUCGCAUUGUUGUGGAAGAAUAACCUUCCAAUCAUGGUGGAAGUGAUGCUACUACCAGACUGCUGCUACAGUGAUGAUGGGCCCACCACCGAAGGAAUUGAUCUAAAUGAUCCUGCUAUUAAACAAGAUGCGUUAUUAUUAGAAAGAUGGAUAUUAGAGCCAGUUCCUCGACAGAGUGGUGAUCGAUUUAUUGAAGAGAAGACUCUCCUGUUGGCUGUCCGCUCAUUUGUGUUUUUUUCUCAAUUAAGUGCUUGGCUGAGUGUUUCUCAUGGUGCUACUCCACGAAAUAUUCUUUACAGAAUCAGUGCUGCUGAUGUAGACCUACAGUGGAAUUUUUCACAGACUCCAAUUGAACAUGUGUUUCCUGUUCCCAAUGUUUCUCACAAUGUGGCCUUGAAAGUCAGCGUUCAGUCCUUGCCCAGACAAUCUAAUUAUCCAGUUUUGACCUGUAGUAUUCACACUAACAUUGGCCUUUAUGAGAAAAGAAUUCAAGAACAUGAACUUAAAACCCAUCAGCACCGAAAUUCUACAGAAGCAGAUCAUUGUAGUACAGACAGUUCACAACGUGUUUGCAGCAAACAAACUUGGACCAUGGCACCUGAAAGCAUAAUAUUACAUGCAAAAAAUGGCACAACUCCAGAAUAUAGUGCAGCUGUCAAAAAUGUCAAGCUAUAUCCAGGCACUGGUAGUAAAUCUGACUAUGGAACAUCUCAAGGCAAUAUUUUAGGCUUCAGUAGUAUAGGAGAGAAAAAGUCACAUGAAACAUCAGUGAGAACCUUAAAAUCAUUUUCAGUGGUUGAUUCCAGUGACUCUAGUCGCCAGAGUUCCUGGCAGUCAGUUGGUGAGACUAAUCCUUUAAUAGGCUCUUUAAUUCAGGAGCGGCAAGAAGUUAUUGCAAGAAUAGCUCAGCAUCUGAUUCAUUGUGAUCCAAGUACUUCCCAUGUUUCUGGACAUCCACUUAAUAUGCAAGAAUCUAGUUCACUUAAUUCAAAACUUUUCCGUGUUUCACAAGAAAAUGAAAGUGUACGAAGAUGUAAAGAAACAUUCUCUGUCUCUUUUGGCAGUCCAGAGCUCACCUCUUCAGAAGAUACCAGUGAAGGGAAGAUUCGAGUAAAACCAGAAACUCCUCGAAAUGACACUUGCAUCUCUAAUGGUCUUCAUUCUCAUCAGUCUGUUGGUGAGACUAAUCCUUUGAUAAGCUCUUUACUCCAAGAACGGCAAGAUAUCAUUGCAAGGAUUGCUCAACACUUGGAGCAUAUUGAUCCAAUGGCAUCUCACAUGCCCCGGCAAUCAUUCAAUAUGCAGGACUCCAGUUCAGUUCCUUCUAAAGUAUUUAGGAGUUCCUAUGAAGACAAAAAUUUACUGAAGAAAAACAAGGAUGACACCUCUGUUUCCAUUUCUAAUACAAAAUUUUCCUUGUUAGAUGAUAUCAGUGAAGGGAAAAACUCAAUAUCUAAUAAAUAUUUUAGUUCUUUUAAUUGCAACAGUAAAGUCAAGCCUUCUUUGCAACCUCAAACAAGAAGAAAUCUGUAUAAGGACAAUCCUAGUGAAAUCCAAAGUACGUUUCAGGAGACACAGAACAAAGCUCCUGGUUUAAUGACCCCUUCAAAUAUAUCUCACUGCAAAGAAAAUAACUUUGAUUUGACAAUCAGGUUAGAAAACACAUGUUCUGAGUGUCAAUUUAAGAAGCAAGAAAUUAACGAUGAGAUUGAUAAAGAGCAUUCAAAUUGUAACAGUAUUGACAAACAGAUUUACACAAAUAAGUAUAAGGACAAAAUAAUAAAUGAAAAUUAUAAUCCAGAAUCUUUUAGCAAUCACCAGUGUGAUAAUUCAAAAAAAAAUGACUCGAAAGUAAAAGUUACUGUGUUGGAAAUGUCUGGAUAUCUGAGUAAACAUGAAAACGAGUGCUCAAAUAAAGACCCAAAAAGGCCUAAGCCAUGUGAACAAAACACUCAACUUAAUAGUAUAGAAAAUUAUCUUAUUAAAGAUAGUGAAGGUUUCAAAUGCAAAAAGCUAGACCAAUUAAGAAAUGAACAGGAUAAGAAAGAUCCGAUUGAUGAAAACUCUCAAAACUCUUCUCAGAGAAAGAAUAUAAAAGACUGUUUGUCCACAUGUGAACGACUGAAAAAUAAAGAGGUGUUGCAGAAAACUAUACCAUUUAGACACGCAAGUGUCUGGCAGAAACAUAAUUUUCAUUCCUUGGAUGGAACCUCAACCAGAGCCUUUCAUCCUCGAACUGGAUUGCCUCUUCUUUCCAGUCCUGUUCCUCAAAGAAAGGCACAAUCAGGUUGCUUUGAUCUGGAUUCUUCAUUCCUGCAUCUGAAAAACUUAUCAUCUAGAAGUCCUCAACCAUGUUUAAACAUUGAAGAUGAUCCAGAUAUUCAUGAAAAACCACUUCUCAGUUCUAGUGCUCCACCUGUAACAAGUCUUAGUCUCUUAGGAAAUUUUGAGGAGUCUGUCUUGAACUAUCGUUUAGAUCCUCUCGGCAUUGUUGAUGGCUUUACUGCAGAGGUAGGGGCAAGUGGUGUCUUCUGCCCCACCCAUUUGACUCUUCCAGUUGAAGUGUCAUUCUACAGUGUUUCCGACGAUAAUGCUCCCUCUCCUUAUAUGGGUGUGAUUACUUUAGAGUCCCUUGGUAAAAGGGGUUAUCGAGUACCUCCUUCAGGAACAAUACAAGUGGUAUGUGUUUUAUAGCCUACAAUUGCAAUAAUCAUUCUCUCACAUACAUAUAGAACUUAGCCCUUUCUCCUGCUACUGCUGCUGCAACAACUUUGACCUUAUUUAAUCCUAAUAAGACUGUGGUGAAGAUGUUUGUUGUGAUAUAUGACUUGCGAGAUAUGCCAGCCAAUCAUCAGACAUUCCUACGACAAAGAACUUUUUCUGUACCUGUUAAACAAGAAAUGAAAAGAAGUGUCAAUAAAGAGAACAUCCGACAUACAGAAGAACGGUUAUUACGCUACCUCAUACAUCUGAGGUUCCAGAGUUCUAAAUCUGGAAAGAUCUACCUCCAUAGAGAUGUACGGCUCCUGUUCUCUAGAAAGUCAAUGGAAGUUGAUAGCGGUGCUGCAUAUGAACUCAAAUCUUACACUGAAUCGCCAACAAACCCUCAGUUUUCACCAAGAUGUUGAUAAAGAGUGACAGCUUAAAGUAUUUGCCCAGUACCCAAGUUUGAAAGUAAAAAUUAGCAUAGAAAGGAGUGUACCAAAUUAACAAGCAGGGGAGUGGAUCUUCUCCUGUUUUCCUGGACCAGUUUUUAAUCAAAGGAUUCCUGGAAUGAGCUCUACAUAUUCCAAGUAGACUGGAAAUACUCAUGUCCUAAUCCUUUUUGUACUGUUGAAACCACUUCAUUGGACAUGUUGCAAUAGCAAAUCCCUUCCCCCCCACAAUUAGAUUAGUGUUUACACUUUUUAUUUCUCAGUUAUUUAAUAUUUAAUGUUUUCCUUAAUACUCAAGUGAUGUUUGUCUCUAGUGUUCUAAUGUAGCACAAAUCCUAUGUAAAAUCAUACUGUGUAUUUUUGACAUUACUGUUGAAAUCUGAAAUAUAUGCACAAGUCUUUUAAUUUUG